GGCUCAACGGCAGAGUCUCUGCUUUGAAUGCAGAAGACCCCAGGUUCAGUUCCCGGCAUCUCCA
rnacentral:tRNA from 1 species